rnacentral:rRNA from 1 species
AGAGAGAGACAUGCGCGCAUAUCAAUAAGCGGAGGAAAAGAAACUAACAAGGAUUCCCUUAGUAACGGCGAGUGAAGCGGGAAGAGCUCAAAUUUGAAAUCUUCAAGGUUCCUACCUUGACGAAUUGUAGUUUAUAGAAGUGUUUUCUGUUAGUAGAGUGGCAAAAGUUCUUUGGAAUAGGACAUCAUAGAGGGUGAGAAUCCCGUAUUUGGUCAUUCCUUCCUAGCUUUGUGAUAGCACUUUCAAAGAGUCGGAUUGUUUGGGAAUGCAGUCCAAAAUGGGUGGUAAAUUUCAUCUAAAGCUAAAUAUUGGCGAGAGACCGAUAGCGAACAAGUACCGUGAGGGAAAGAUGAAAAGAACUUUGAAAAGAGAGUUAAACAGUACGUGAAAUUGUCAAAAGGGAAGCGUUUGACACCAGUGUUGUUUUCUCGAAAAUCAAUUAAUGAUGGCUGAUUGCUAGGUUGUAUUGACUUUAUCAGCAUUACUGUCUAGCUUUUUCUGUCUUUGUGAAUGCACUUUUCGUUUAACAAGUCAACAUCAAUUUCUUUUGUUGUAAAAGGGUCAUUGGAAGGUGGCUUUCUUUUCGGAGAAAGUGUUUAUAGCCUUUGACUUCUGCAAUCGGAGAGAUUGAGGUCUGCAGCGUAGAUCCUUCGGGGUUAGAUGCAUUUGUGCUAAGUUAUAGCCUUUCAUAGACAACUUGUUGACUAUGAUCAGUCAUGUAGCUUACUCGCUUAUGUCAUUUUACCUACGCUUAGGAUGUUGACAGCAGUAUAGACUGU